UGCCUACAGCAGAGUGACAAUUUAAGAGAAGAAGACUGUAUAAUCAGAUGUAUACUGCACUGAGAAAGCAGAAUUCCAACAACAGGAAUUUAGAAGAGAAAUUGGGGCGGGGGAAAGAAAGGUUAAGGCAGAAUUCCAUUUGUACAUAUUAGAAUGACGCCAACUAUUAAGCCAAAGUAGAAGAAACACCUUAAACAGGAUGGAUUUGUUGAUAUCACAAAUAAAAAUGAAAUCUGAACCGCAAUUCUUGAUACAUUAUUAACAUAAUCCAUAUGAUUACUUCCACAACAAAGUCAGCAGCCUCUGGCUGAGAAGAUAUUGCCAAAGCUUGUCAUACCUAUGGCUAAGCUUAAUACUAAUUGGGUACAGAAAUCAAGGGACAAAUAUUAUCACCCUGGGAAAAUUCACAUUUUAUGAAAGGUAUAAAGAAUCCAAGCGACAAGACAAAGGUGACAACAGACAAAAAAAGAAAAUCAUGAAACCCCCAAGUUCGCAGCUUUCACAAGCCCAGAACAUAUUGCUAAAGCUGAUAAUACCUAUGGCUAAGCUUAAUACUAAUUGGACACAGAAAUCAAGGGACCCAUAUUAUCACCCAGGGGAAAUUUCACAUUUUAUGAAAGGUAUAAAGAAUCCAAGCGACAAGACAAAGGUGACAACAGACAAAAGAAAAAAACCAUGAAACCCCCAAGUUCCCAGCUUUCACAAGCCCAGAACAAAAGAAGAAAGGUGAGGAUUACUGAUUAAUCUAGCAGGCAUUGAAGAUAAUAUUUCCAUAAAGUAAAAA
rnacentral:lncRNA from 1 species